CAGAAGCCUCAAUCAGACUGUGUGAGAAAACUAAGGAUGCCCAUUACCUGUGGAGUGCUUAGCUUAGGCACAGUGAAGAUGGAAGGACUGAAUUUGAUGGCACGUCUCACCAUUAAAGGAUGGAGAGCAGAUUUCUCAAAUGACUCAGCUAAGGCACAUAGAGAGAGCUUUCUUUUGUACCUUGAUGCAAUGGAUGGAAUUAUGCCAAUAAGCAUGUCAAAUGCCUAGCAGUAAAUGUAAACCCUCUGCCUCUUACAGAAACCCAUUAAAAUGUGAAGAAUUUUAUUGCCCUUAGAAAUAGUCUUUGAUGGCCCUAAAGUCUCCUAGAAUUGCAUAUAAAGUUUCGCAAGAACCACCUUUAAAAAUUCUAAAAGCUGCCCCUCCAACUUCCAGCUAAAGAAACCAGAAUGCCAACUAAACACUAUCAAAUUGUAUCGCUUUACAAAAAAAAAAAAAAAAGUGAUUAGU